CACGUGAGGCACCAAGCGUUGUCCGGAUUUAUUGGGCGUAAAGAGCUCGUAGGCGGUUUGUCGCGUCUGCUGUGAAAACCCGAGGCUCAACCUCGGGCCUGCAGUGGGUACGGGCAGACUAGAGUGCGGUAGGGGAGAUUGGAAUUCCUGGUGUAGCGGUGGAACGCGCAGAUAUCAGGAGGAACACCGAUGGCGAAGGCAGAUCUCUGGGCCGUAACUGACGCUGAGGUGCGAAAGCGUGGGGAGCAAACAGGG
rnacentral:rRNA from 1 species